rnacentral:misc_RNA from 1 species
GAUGAAGAACGCAGCGAAAUGCGAUACGUAAUGUGAAUUGCAAAUUCAGUGAAUCAUCGAAUCUUUGAACGCACAUUGCGCCCUCUGGUAUUCCGGGGGGCAUGCCUGUCCGAGCGUCAUUUGCAACCCUCAAGCCCGGCUUGUGUGAUGGGUGCCGUCCCCUACGGGACGCGCCCCGAAGGCAAUGGCGGCGUCGCGGUUAUCCGAUCAGCCAAAGUGUAUGGGGCUUUGUCACUCACUUUACGGCCCGGACCGGCGCCAGUCCGAAUCAAUCUUUUUUCUAAAGUUGACCUCGGAUCAGGUAGGGAUACCCGCUGAACUUAAGCAUAUCAAAAGCGGAGGA